UACGGGGGGGGCAAGCGUUGUUCGGAAUUACUGGGCGUAAAGGGCUCGUAGGUUGCCAACUAAGUCAGACGUGAAAUCCCUCGGCUUAACCGGGGAACUGCGUCUGAUACUGGAUGGCUUGAGUGUGGGAGAGGGAUGCGGAAUUCCAGGUGUAGCGGUGAAAUGCGUAGAUAUCUGGAGGAACACCGGUGGCGAAGGCGGCAUCCUGGACCAUUACUGACACUGAAUAGCGAAAGCCAGGGGAGCAAACGGG
rnacentral:rRNA from 1 species